UGCACUCAGGUGUGCGAGUAGAAAACUCACACAUCGAGGUCUCCGAGGUCACGCUGACCUCGCAACAUGAAAUGCGGCAUCCCUGUACAAAAGCACAUGCCAUCUCUUCCGCCUCACUUUCUCCCCCCGACUCACACCGACAAACUAUGACAGGCACAUGGGAAUGUGAUUCUGUAGAUGCAGUCGCUAAUUAGAUUUUUUUUUCCCCCUCUCCAUCCUCCACAUUAAGCAUUCUGCCUCGCUUCCAGCUCGUUCUCCGACCAGAUUAGCCAGUAAGCCUUCCUGUUCUCACUUCCCUGGUGUGUCUCCGAGUUGGCUUUGAAAUGAAUAUGCUCUGGCAGUGAACUACCCUGAGCCACUUAUCCAGCCCUCCCAACUGGAACUCGAGACACGUGCACCCAGAUGUCAACAUUAGACGUGCACGCCAGCACGGUCGCACACCGUUCCUCCUUCACCUAUUACUCUUUGAAUAACGUUCCCACCAAUACACAUUUCCCCCCUCAUUGAGAUAUUACCAAACAGUGUUUAAAAACCACAUCGUAAAACAUUCCUGCACUCCACAUGCAAAGAAAAAAACAAAAAACAAACAAACAAGUGAUUUUUCAUCGGAAUGAUUCUCCUUUCGUGCAGCCUUAUAUGGCCAAAAAAAUUGUAUAAGUGAUGAUGUUAUUGCCUGAAGCACUUGCACACACGAGGGCACGGGGAGGUUAAAUUUAAACCAGCGGGAAUGCUGCCGCAGGCGUUAGAAAAAUUGAAUCGCAGACAAUCUCGAAUAGAGGCUAUUGUUGGUUAUUGGUCAUGCUAGCCACGUGCGCGUUUGAGCAUUUAUGUGAUUGUGUUCCACAUUGUAUCGACUUUAUCUAUACAUUCCUGCAUACUACAAAGAUCUAUAUAUUCACAUUUGCCAAACAAAAUGUGCAUCUUUGGUACAAAUCUACUUCAGGAUACAUAAAUCUCACUCGGCUCGGAUGAUAGAGCGGAUAACUCUUAACCUUGAAUGCUGAGGGUCUCAGCCCUAAUUCACCCAACAUCUGUAUCAUGAUAAAACAUUUUCUGACAUCCUUUGGUCCAAGUAGAAAAUGGACAGAUAAUUACAGCAUACCAUCUAGCACCAGGAGAAAACAUUUAAUUUGGGCAGAGGUUGGUUAUAUCUCAUGCAAAUGAGCAAUUGUUCAACCCGCUUGCACAAUGCCGGGUGUGACUUUUGUAAUAUGAUGACCAGGGCAGUGCGAGGGCAUUGAAAUUAUGCUAGUGGCUACUCUGAAGAGAUAUAACAAAAUGUAUCAAUUAUAUUGUAUUUUAUUACUCUGCCGCCAAAUUAAGAAAAGUUAGCUCAACAUUAGAAGACGCACUGUGCGCAAACAAUAGUGCCCCGUGGCAAGCUUGCCUGUAUUUGGAAGCGCUUGCAUAGCAGCCAGGACUAAAACAAUGCAACUUUUCUUGCAAGGUGGUAUUUUGCUGCUCGCCUUCUGAAAUCCCUCUACCAGCUUCUCGCCUUCUGGAUGUACCUUUUGAUGUAACCACGCUCUUGAAUUGAACAUUUUUUCUAUUCAAGGGUUGCUACAAAUGCCCACCUUCUGCAUGGCAAUGUGACAUGACACGCCGUUAGUUCUCGCAGCACAUACACAAUGGCUGCUCAGUGAAAAAUUCAGAACUGGCUUAUAGAUGCAUUUUCGAAAAUAGUUAAACCAAUAAGUAAAUCUGUUGUUGGUUAAUUUCAUGCUUGAUUAGUGAGCAGGAACACCAGCCAAAUGUAUAUACAGCAUAAACACAAUUAAAACUUGUAUCUAUCCAUUUGGGUCGCGGGUGAUUUGGACCCUGUCCUGGCUAAUGUAGGCCUCAACACCUUUCAUUGGUCGCCAGACAAUUACAGAUCAUAUAUAGACUGGCAAGCAUUUACAAUUAUGGGCAAUUUAUACUGUUCAUAUAACCUACCAUGCAAUGUUUUUAUAAUAUGAAAAAAAAGCCAGAAUAUCAGAUAAUUAGCAAACUCCACACACACACAAAGGGCCGUUGUGAAUUUCUAAUUUCUAAUUUCCACUGAACAGAAAGACUAUUGUCAAUAAUUUUCUCCUUAUCUGGCCCCCAGAUCAAAUGUACAUUGCAAGAUAACAUUUUAUUUACAAGUCAGGUGACUUCAAAGAGGCUUGAUUUUCAUUCAGCUGGAAAUGCUGUGAUUACGACUGAUUAAUAUCGAAUGUUCAAAGUCAACCACUUCACCUUGGUGGGGAAGAAAAAAUAAAUCCAAAAAGUAAAUAAGUUAGAUAUGAAAGGGAGCUGAUUUCCAAACAGAGUACACAAGUUUGGCGAUGCUUGGCCUUAACCGCAUUUACAAUACAAUACAUUUGCUUAUCUCUACAAUAGGAGAAAAUAAGGCGGCAUUUUUUAUUUAUUUGUCUAAUUUGUUUUCUUCUGUCACUCGUGUUGACUUGACAAAAAGCUCUUGUGAAUGAGUGCUGUCUCAUUAUUGAGAGUGGUGGUGGGGGGCGGGGGGGUAACUGAUCCCCACAUUAAUGAGAACAUUUUCCAUAUUAUCAUUCAUCACCAUGCUUGUGCUGGAAAUGACAGAGGAACAGCGUGCAUAAUGAGGACUGAUUAAUUUAGGCCAAACAGGAGGGCUGGGCUGCUCACUAAUUAGCAUGAAGGCAGACGGAGAGGUUGCAGCUGAUCCGCACCUGCACGAGCGUUUAAGAAAAUGUUUCACAGUACUGUAUUACACGAUGGAAAGCUGUUAUAAACCUAAACCUGUGCAAAAAAAUGUUGCACAUUUUAGGUUUAGGGAGCCCUCAUGUGGAGACCGGCACCACUGCAUUGUAAUGUGCAAGCUUCAUUUCGAGUUGACACCAGCAAUUUAGUUGUCAAAUGUGAGAAUAAGUACACUUUUGCCUUUUCAAAGCAUGACACUGAAAGCAAUUUUAGAUUUUUUUUCUGAGGAUAAUGCCGGACUCUUUGGACUUGGCAUGUCGGAUUCAAAAGGCUAAUGUAGAUGCCAAUGUUAUUCAAAAACAGAUUUUUCUUUUUCAAAAAAGACCCCUCGAGCUAAACGUGUGAAAUCACGUGCACCGUUGAAAACAGAAUGCAAGCCUUUUAAAAAUUUGGUUUUGUGCCACAGAACUGAGUCAAAACAGGUAUCAGUCAGGAUAAUGCCCGGUUGCUAUUAUGAAGCCAGUUCAGUUCAUCGGCUGGUGCUGUUUCACGAUUAAAUGAUGUUCAAGUCUUGGAUGAAGGGCACUUUGUCAUCCCAGCUUGUGUCUGUGUUGUUUUUGGAAUUGCACCACCGAGAUGACAGUGUUUUGUCUGGCUAAAGGUGACAAUAUAAAGAGAUAUCAAAAUGUUAGGGCAGAUGACAAGAUGGUGCCGUUGUCCUCUGAAAGCUUCUAAAUGAGAGGUUUGUUGUAACUAUUGUUUUGUCAUGAUAGAAUUCCAAAAAAAAGACAAAAGCUGGAGGAAAACUGAAGAAAGUAAAGUUUAGCUGUGGUUGCGCAUACCGGUGUGAAAAUUUUGACCAAUUUGUUUGAACUGACAAAGCAAAAUUAAGGACCAUUUACUAUCAACUGCCCAGAAACAAAACACUUAAAUCUUGAUAAUACUCCACUUGGUAAUCCUCAUUGAUUCAUAGAGAUCAACAUCAUGUAAAAAUGAGAAUGUGACUAAGAAUUACUAUUUAUUUUAUAAUGUAUCAAUAUUUAGUGAAUAGUGGUGGUAGCUGGUGUGGCCUGGAUCAGUUCCUGUACACUUUUGUGCAGAAAUAGAUUGACGGUAACAGUAUUGUGUUGCAGAUGAGGCCCAUUAUUUUACAUUCUUAUUCUAUCUCGUGAAAUAAAAUCGCAAUGUGAGGUUUGGUUCACAAAUAUUUUAGACAACUCAAGUAGGUGAUCUGGGGUUGCCAUAGCAAUGACAGGGGCAUCAUUCAAAUGAUUUAACGUGUAAAGAGGUUCAAUUAAGAGACUUUGUUGCUCUAAAUGAAUGAAGGAGAUUUAAUGAAGUGAUGCUUAAAUGCUAAAAAAAAUGUUUUGGUACAUGUGCGAAUGUGAAGAAAAUGGACAAGAACUGAUCAAAGAUUCUUGUGGAAUAAGAAAAAAUGCCCCUGUCACCUUUGAAAAUCCGAGGCUGAAACCAGUCACGGUAGAUAAGAUGGUUAACUGCAAGAUACACUUUGUCUGGGGUGGUCUGAUUUGGUGUGAGGCCUUUGGGGGUUGAUAAGGUUCCAUUGUGCACACGAAAGCCUGCACUGAAAUGUGAAGCGCGGAGGUGUGGAGAAAUGCAGAAUAAUAUCACAUGAUCAAUAUUGAUUGAAUAAAGUUAGCCUUAAUACAAUGGCAGGUCUUUUUCAAGCUGUGCUGCUCUGUGAAUCCAAAGACACAACUGAUACAAUCGAAUAGAAGAAACUGAGUGCGGCACGACCAUGAAAGACAAUUAGCAUAACAUAUUCGUUCCCGUUUACUUUAAGUUGGCAUCGUCAUCGUUUCAAAUCACGGUUACUCAUCAGCAAAUAUUCAUUGUUGAUAUAAUGUAGUUCUCCCUCUCCAAAAGUUUCCAUUGUGCUGGACAUCCGUUUUGUGUUUCAAGUUGGCUGAUAUAUUGCUCUUGCUAUUUUUUUAUAAUUUACCUGCUGGGAUACUUAACAUUUUUUCGCAAGUGUUAUUAAUUUAUUUUUAGUUUGACAUUAUGCCUUUGGAUAUUCACAUCCAUACUGUAUGCAAAUAAUUGACUGGUUCUUCAAGAGAUAUACUGGUGCAGGUCUUCUCCGUAAGCGGCAUUAGAAUACUGGGAGGACACGUAAUGUGAAGUCGUUUUUAGUUGGGUUUUUUUUUUUUGUCACGAUGGAAUUGUUCCCUAUCAUGGAUGCAUAAAGCUGAAGCUGCGCUUCCUGUUGAUUUUUUGGCAGAGGUGUGUGUGGUGUUCUGGAAGGAGAUGAGAAAGAGCGCGGGUGAGGUUAUGAAUAGUAAUGUGUGGAGUCCAUUUGUUUCUUUCUCACUAUCCCACUUGGUGUUAAUCGUUUGACUCACGUCACCAACCACUCAGCUAUUCGGUCCUCGAACAAAGUUAUAAGCAAUAACAAAAUGUGACCUAAUUAAGGAUUUGCACUCAAGGAGGACACACAAUACGUCUGACCAUCUGUGUUCAAGCCACUGAUUUAUGUGUGCCACAUGCUGUGUCACACUGGUGAUUUAUUUACAUCAACUGAACAUAGAGGUAAACUUUUAGAGUCACCUUAUGGAGGACUAGCCACUGGCAACUUGAAAGUAACUCCACAAAAAAAGUGAGAUUACGAUCGCAAUGAUCCUUUGCUUUUGUUUCAUUGCACAAAGAUGUACUCAUUGUCAGAGUGUUUGCAUGUUGGAGUUGGUGGCAGGCAAAACAUGGAAGACUCAGCCGAAAUUAUUCCUUCAUAAAAAAGACAGUCAAGUUUCAGCAAAAAAUCGAGACACAAAAUUCACAAGUACCCCCUCCCAUUAAAACCUACAUUUAAAAUAACUAAACAAUCAGACAUGGCUGCAGCGAGGUAACAUUUUGACAACAGAAAUCAGACUGAACCAAACCAGGCAGCUAAAUCCAAGAAAACUGACGAGGCAAUCAGGAGCACCUGGAGAGGCUGGAUCGAACUGAUUGGCCGAACAGGGCUAGGAAGAACAGGUGCACACGAAAACCAAAUGAGCAACCAAAACAUAGGAUGGAAAAAAAAACAAAAAAAUCAAAAGUAAAUCCAAUCGAAACAAAGUCAACAAAAACACACAUCAUGAAAAGCUUCUCAUUAAACUUGACCAAUGAAGACUGGACAUAUUCCAAUUUAUUCAACUUGUGAUAUUUUAAUUUCAAUUUAGAAGUAAGCGUUGGCGUCACCAUCAAUCGUGACAACAAAAUGAAAACGAAAAAUAAAAUAUUCAGCAUACUGCAAUUUGUGCUUCCCCCGAACAGAUGCCUGGAAUAAAUUACAUCGAAAAGAAGAACCUCUCAAAACAGUUGAAAUAUGAUAGUUUAGCAAGUAAUACCAUGCCUAACUUUUUGUACAACUGUUUAUGAAGAAAAACUGCUUUAUCACUUCGAACAGCAUGCACAUGGUAACAUGAAUUGAAAUGAGAGACUGUAUGUGCAUGUGUCCAUCUCUACCGUAUGUGCUCUGUGAUUGACUCCAGAAUGUAGUCCGUUUUUUGCCCCAGGUUCACUGGGAUAGACUUUAAUUCCUCAUGACCUUGGAUCAUGUAAGCAAUAUAGGGAGUGGUUCAUAAAUUAUAAACAGAUUGCUCCAAAAUUGAUUAAUAAUAUUU